rnacentral:snRNA from 12 species
UUACUUACCUGGCAGGGGAGACACCCUUCUUCUCAGCUUUGAAUGACUUGGUAUAGUUAAAGGGUGGAGACCUAGACCUAUCCAUUGCACUGUGGACAGGGACUCCUGUGAGAGUCUACAAAUGCCUCCAAAUGCAAGGAUCUCAGCUACACAAUUUAUGAUGAUGGGGGAUUGCUCUCAGGCCUUCCCUCU